GGCCCGACUGAGUGGUCUUGCCUCGUUGUAAGCACUGCUCCGGUUGGGUCUUUCCUUCUGGCUAACCAGCUGCCUUUCACUGGGUUGGCUGGGGCUCCAGGACUUUUACUUUGAAAAAAUUAGAGUGUUUAAAGCAGGCAAGCGCUUGAAUACAUUAGCAUGGAAUAAUGAAAUAGGACG
rnacentral:rRNA from 1 species